rnacentral:rRNA from 1 species
UACGUAGGGGGCAAGCGUUGUCCGGAAUCAUUGGGCGUAAAGAGCGUGUAGGCGGCCAGAUAAGUCCGCUGUGAAAUCUCGAGCUCAACCUUUGAACGCCGAUGGAUACUGCCGGGCUAGAGUCCGGAAGAGGCGAGUGGAAUUCCUGGUGUAGCGGUGGAAUGCGCAGAUAUCAGGAGGAACACCAAUAGCGAAGGCAGCUCGCUGGGACGGUACUGACGCUGAGGCGCGAAAGCGUGGGGAGCGAACAGG